CAUUGGACUAGACUGGGCCGCUAGCGGUGGCUUGUUACCAGAAAUCCGCUUUAUGCUGGAGUUGAAACCAAGGAAGAGGUUUUGAUGUUGGCGUAUUUGCCACAUUAUGAAUGUCGAAGCCCCGUCCUUACAGGCCCUUCGUUAAGAUGAAACCCGCCAGGCUGGGAACAGAGCAACGGUAAUUUUAUUGAGGAGCGCUGAAGGUUAGCGGAGUGGAGUUUAUAAUGUGAUACAAAUGCAUCAUCUAGGAAUCCAUUCUUUGGUGUGUCCACUU
rnacentral:SRP_RNA from 1 species